CACGUAGGGGGCAAGCGUUGUCCGGAAUCAUUGGGCGUAAAGAGCUCGUAGGCGGCUCAGUAAGUCGGGUGUGAAACCUCCAGGCUCAACCUGGAGACGCCACCCGAUACUGCUGUGGCUAGAGUCCAGUAGGGGAGUGUGGAAUUCCCGGUGUAGCGGUGAAAUGCGCAGAUAUCGGGAGGAACACCAGCGGCGAAGGCGGCACUCUGGGCUGGUACUGACGCUGAGGUGCGAGAGCGUGGGGAGCGAACCGG
rnacentral:rRNA from 1 species